rnacentral:piRNA from 1 species
UAAGGUAUUGCAUUUUAAAUC